UAGGGAAUAUUGCAAAAUGGGCGAAAGCCCGAUGCAGCAACGCCGCGUGGGCGAUGAAGGCCUUCGGGUCGUAAAGCCCUUUUUGAGGGGAUGAGGAAGGACAGUACCCUCAGAAUAAGCCUCGGCUAACUACGUGCCAGCAGCCGCGGUAAAACGUAGGAGGCGAGCGUUAUCCGGAUUUACUGGGCGUAAAGCGCGUGCAGGCGGAUUGGAGAGUUGGAUGUGAAAGCUCCCGGCUUAACUGGGAGGGGUCGUUCAAUACUUCCAGUCUUGAGUGCAGUAGAGGGAAGUGGAAUUCCGGGUGUAGUGGUGAAAUGCGUAGAUAUCCGGAGGAACACCAGUGGCGAAAGCGGCUUCCUGGACUGUAACUGACGCUCAGACGCGAAAGCUAGGG
rnacentral:rRNA from 1 species